UACUCACAAGCUAGCCCACCCCUGCAAACCCAACACCCCCAUAUCACUACCCCCAUACACCCAAUAAAACUAAAUAAACAAAACAUUUUUCCCCCUUAGUAUAGGCGAUAGAAAAGAGCCCAGGCGCAAUAGAUAAAGUACCGCAAGGGAAAGCUGAAAGAGAAAUGAAACAACCCAGUUAAGAAAAGAAAAGCAAAGAUAAAACCUUGUACCUUUUGCAUCAUGAGUUAGCCAGUCAACCCAAGCAAAGAGUCCUUUAGUUUGUCCCCCCGAAACUAGGUGAGCUACUCCAAGACAGCCUAAAAAUUAGGGCGCACCCGUCUCUGUGGCAAAAGAGUGGGAAGAGCUUCGAGUAGCGGUGACAGACCUAUCGAACCUAGUUAUAGCUGGUUGCCCGAGAAGUGGAUACAAGUUCAGCCUCUUGGCCUCUCCCCUCAAUCUGUCCUAACCUCCUCAGACACCUAAGAGACCAAAAGAGUUAUUCAAGGGGGGUACAGCCCUCUUGAAAAAAGACACAACUUUAACAGGAGAAUAAAGAUCAAAAUAACCAAGGAGCUCUCACGUCUUCGUGGGCUCAGAAGCAGCCAUCCCAUUAGAGUGCGUUAAAGCUCAGACACCUCAACUCUCAAACCACUCCUUAGAUCCUGAUAAUUUACUCUUAAUCCCUACCCAUACCGGGCCAUUCCAUGCCUCCAUGGAAGCGACCAUGCUAAUAUGAGUAAUAAGAGAGCUAAGACUCUCUCCCCGCAUAAGUGUAUCUCGGAACGAACCCCCACCGAUUAUUAACGGACCCAACCAAAGAGGGAAAUAGACCAUACAAAAGACAACUAGAAAAACAUCAAUCCUUGACCCCGUUAACCCCACACUGGUGUGCAACAAGGGAAAGACUAAAAAAAAGAGAAGGAACUCGGCAAACAUCUCAAGCCUCGCCUGUUUACCAAAAACAUCGCCUCUUGCAACAUCAACGUAUAAGAGGUAUUGCCUGCCCAGUGACGUAGAGUUCAACGGCCGCGGUAUAUUGACCGUGCGAAGGUAGCGCGAUCACUUGUCUUUUAAUUGGAGACCUGUAUGAACGGCACGACGAGGGCUUAACUGUCUCCUCUUUUAAGUCAAUGAAAUUGAUCUCUCCGUGCAGAAGCGGAGAUACCCCCAUAAGACGAGAAGACCCUAUGGAGCUUUAGACACUAAAGCAGAUCACGUAAACAUCUUCAAAACAACGAACCGAACACAAUGUUCCCUGCCCUACUGUCUUCGGUUGGGGCGACCACGGGGAAACACACAACCCCCACGCGGAAUGGGCUUACAUUCCCUAAGCCAAGAGCACCAGCUCUAAGAAACAGAACCUCUGACCUAGAGAUCCGGCUUAGCCGAUCAACGGACCAAGUUACCCUAGGGAUAACAGCGCAAUCCCCUUUUAGAGUCCAUAUCGACAAGGGGGUUUACGACCUCGAUGUUGGAUCAGGACAUCCUAAUGGUGCAGCCGCUAUUAAGGGUUCGUUUGUUCAACGAUUAAAGUCCUACGUGAUCUGAGUUCAGACCGGAGUAAUCCAGGUCAGUUUCUAUCUAUGCCGUGUUCUUCUCUAGUACGAAAGGACCGAGAAGAAGAGCCCCCUGCUAAAGGCACGCCUCACUUUUACCUAUAGAAAACAACUAAAAAAGACAACAAAGCACAUCCUACCUCACCAGCCUGAGACCCCGGCGC